UACGUAGGGUGCGAGCGUUAAUCGGAAUUACUGGGCGUAAAGCGUGCGCAGGCGGUUUUGUAAGCCAGAUGUGAAAGCCCCGGGCUUAACCUGGGAAUGGCAUUUGGGACUGCAAGGCUUGAGUGCGGCAGAGGAGACUGGAAUUCCUGGUGUAGCAGUGAAAUGCGUAGAGAUGUGGAGGAACACCAGUGGCGAAGGCGGCUUUCUGGUCUGUAACUGACGCUGAGGCGCGAAAGCGUGGGGAGCAAACAGG
rnacentral:rRNA from 1 species